UGGAUAUUAACGCCUUACCAGAUAUACGGUUUGCAAAUAUUUUCUCCCAUUCUGUAGGUUGCCUUUUUGUCUUGUUGAGUAUUUCUUUGGCUGUGCAGAAAUUUUUUAGUUCGACAUAGUCCAACUUGUUUAUUUUGCUUUGUUUCUUGUGCUUUGGGUAUCAUAUUUAUGAAAUUAUUGGCAAAACCAAUGUCAAAGAGCUUUUUCCCUAAGUUUUCUUCUAGGUGUUUUAUGGUUUCAGAUCUCAGUUAAGUCUUUAUUGUGCGGAGCUGUCCUGUGCAUUGAAGGAUAUUUAGCAGCAUCCCUGGCCUUUACCCAGUAGAUGCCAGUAGCAUACUCUCUCUCAGUUGCAGGAACCAAAAGUGUCUCUAGACAUUGCCAAGUGGUCCCCGGGGGCAAAAUUACCCCAGUUGAGAAUCGCUGCUUUAUUCCCCUGUUUGGAUUCAUGUGAGGUUUUUGAAAAAGGCUAUGAGUAAAAAGAGUCUUAUCUUCUGUCGUUUAGGACUGCAUACACAGUUAAGUUUUUUCAACCUUGUCAAACCCCAGAUUUCUGGAUACGGUAUCCUUUUACAUCUUACAAAGUGGCCGAGUCUUGUCUGAUCUCAUCUCUUUCUUGUAAUAACUUGCCAAAAAGUAGCAAGGAGCUGCAGGUGCAUAGUGACAUUCUGGCUUUUUUUAGCUGCUUCCCCUAGAGCUGUAGGCACGAUAGGCAUAUGAUUUGCCUUCCAAAUGAUCACAGGAGACACUGCUACUAAAAGUUUUGCUGUGGCAUAACGAGAGUUACCAGAUUUUUAGCUUGCAAAGUCUGUAUCCUUUAUUCCUGGGAUCACACUGCUAAGCCAAUACCACAUUUCUGUUAUGGCAGCACUCCACUUCUGAGUAUCAGUCUCUGUUAUAAGUUUGAAUGACAAGAAAAAAUAAGCCCUUCAAAGAUUAAGGGGAAGAAGAAUUUUGGUAGAAGGAAUAGCUAGUGGAAAGGUUCAAGGGUGGGUGCAUAUUGGUCUACUUGAGGAACAAAAAGAAAGCCAGUGUGGAUGGAACUUAGUGGAAAAGGGGUGGAGCAACCUGAGAUGAGGUCACAGAGGCAGACAGGGGCUGGGGUGUAGGACUUUCUGGCCAGUUUAAAAAGUAUGGAUUUGUUCUAGGAGCAAUGUGAAGCCAUAUGAAAAUAAUAACUACAUACCUCAUAGAUUUGGUGAGAGUUUUAAAUGACUUCAUAUUUAUGAAGUGUUUAGAACAGAGGCUGGCAUAUGAUCUGAAGAGCAGUACAGACUAAGCGAAGGAGAAAAGAAUGAGGAGCAGGAAGAGGAGAAAAGAAAGACCACCAUGUAUGCAGAGUGCCCAAAGAGAGCCAUUCCUGUGCUUUUUCUGCAACAGCAUCUUCCUUGGGAAACAGCUGAAUGUGGCUACUGCUUCCACUUGGAAAAUUAGAGUACAGCAACCAUGCUAUUAGAAAUCUUGUGCUCUUUGAUGUUGGCGUUUGGUAUUUUUGGCUAAAAAUUAAGCUGAGAUCGUUUAAACAUGUCUGACACAUGGACUGGGCCUGUAUCUUAGUGAGUUUUCUUUGUUUUGUCAGUCUACCCAUUAUUUCAUCUCCUUUAAUCAAACAUUUUAUUGUACUUUUGCAAUAUUAUCAGGCGAGACGGUGAGUGUCAAUAUCAGUAAGAUUACCUGUGCUGUGAUGUUUCUGAAACAUCUGGUGUCUAGGUCAGGCUUUUCUCAGCUUUUUACUUUGUUUUUGGUGCACUUAGGAUCUUUUCUAACACAUGGACACUCCUAUUCAGCCAUCUCUUCUUCAAGCUAUUCUUCUUCAUAUAAUUUUUCCUUAAAGUCCAAUUUUUAUAAAUGAUUAAUUCUUAUUGUUUUCUUCAGGACCACUCAAAGAUAACUUCCCUUAUCUCCUUCAAUUUUUACUUGAAAAUAAAAUAUUACUCUAGACAAAGAAAUUUUUGACUUAAAUUCUCCCACUACCCAGGCCACCAGAUUUUAUAAUACGCAAGUAGUUGGAGACUAUUCAAAGUCCAGUCAGGUGCUUACCUUUCUAUCCUGACUCUUUAUCUGCAAAUCUCUUUCUGUCUUUCUUGUUUUCUUUACCCUAUUUUCCUCACUAUCAAAUAUUUUUAUCACCCUUAAAUACAGUUCACUGGAUUAGGCUUGCAUUUAAGAAAAGUUAUGCUGUCUAUUCUUUUCUAUAACAAUACCAUAUUUAAAAAUUUCCUGUGAUAUGGGUAUACAUUCAUUUCAUUUUCAGAAAAUAUUAGCAAGACAGUAUUUUCAAUGUAAAAGACAAAUCAGAGCUUGUUAAUUGAGAAAUAAAAUUAGAUCCAUAGAGGAUGAAAUGGCUUUUAUUUAAAUAAACUGCAGCAUCUAGAAAUCUCACCUGAAAACACAUAGCCACUUGAUAUUACGUAAAUAAAUAGCUUGAAGAAAAAUAGUUUUAACUAGAAAACUUAUGGCCUUAAUUUUAUAUAUGUGUCUCA